GACGAACGCUGGCGGCGUGCUUAACACAUGCAAGUCGAACGGAAAGGCCCUGCUUUUGUGGGGUGCUCGAGUGGCGAACGGGUGAGUAACACGUGAGUAACCUGCCCUUGACUUUGGGAUAACUUCAGGAAACUGGGGCUAAUACCGGAUAGGAGCUCCUGCUGCAUGGUGGGGGUUGGAAAGUUUCGGCGGUUGGGGAUGGACUCGCGGCUUAUCAGCUUGUUGGUGGGGUAGUGGCUUACCAAGGCUUUGACGGGUAGCCGGCCUGAGAGGGUGACCGGACACAUUGGGCCUGAGAUACGGCCCAGACUCCUACGGGAGGCAGCAGUGGGGAAUAUUGCACAAUGGGCGGAAGCCUGAUGCAGCAACGCCGCGUGCGGGAUGACGGCCUUCGGGUUGUAAACCGCUUUCGCCUGUGACGAAGCGUGAGUGACGGCAAUGGGUAAAGAAGCACCGGCUAACUACGUG
rnacentral:rRNA from 1 species